ensembl:lncRNA
AAGGAACAGCCUCAACCACCUUCUUAACGUCUGAAGAAACUUCAAUCAAUAGAUUAACAUCUGGUUAACAAAGGCUUUUGGUUUAUUGGGGGACAACUGCCCUCAAGGAUCCGAUCUAAGUGUAUAAAAGCUCCUAACUUUAGCUACUCAGGGGACUUCUCCCGAGCGUACCUUUAGAGCAGGCGCGUCGUUAGCAAUUGAAAACAUCCGGGGCUUUAGCCCGGGGGAGCACCGUCCUGACUCCUGCGUGCUACAGUAUCUUAAUUAAUUAAAUAAUUAAUUAAUUAAUUAAUGUAUCGAUUAAUUAAUUAAGGGCGCCCCCAACACAUAGGUCGCCUAUGCCGAGUGCCAGGGCAAAAAUAAGACAUUAGAAUAGCCUAUAUAGCCUGCGUGCACCUACCCGAUGUCAAGAAGCCAUCGCUGCUCCGACGGACCUUUCUCCCCCAGCCAGGCAACGUCAAUUAACUAAAGCCGCCCUUCCUGGGUAACGCCACCACCAGAGCUAUAGAGAGAGAGAGUUGCGACACUUCCAUUGGACUCCGUUGUAGCGCCUACUUCCGGGGUAUGGAGCCUCGAAUAGUUCCAAACAACCAUUUUACGGCGUAGGAGACCGUUCAUUUCCAUUGCUGGCCGCCGAGUAACUUCUGAGUUGCCUUAUUAGGUCCUCCACAGUCGCCCCAUCAGUCCCUGGCAGUCUGGUCCCUGGAGCAGCUGGCCCUGGCAAAAGUUAUUCCUUCACUGUUGACCCCUGACUGACUGGCCCUCGGCACACAAAUCCCUGGAUCACCUGCCACUGGAUCACCUGCCACUGGAUCACCUGCCACUGGCAAUGUGGCCUCUUGAUUGCUCUCUCUGUCUCCUGUGAUGUCCUUUUCAACGCUCUUGAAAUCCACCAAAAUUUCUCCCUCAAUCUCUAACAAUUACAAGGUAAUGUUGAUGUUAUAUGUAUUUUGCCUUUGCAUUUGCAACUACUGUCAUCUCCAAUGUAAGAAAAUGAAUUAAAGCAAAACAUUUCUGUAAUGUGAAUUAAAUCAUCUGCCACAAUCAGAAACCAAUACAAUUUAUAAAUGGAUCUACCGGCAAUUGUUAAUUGGGUAGAAAUGUGUCGAUUAUCUACAUUGUGUGCAAAUCCUCAGAGAAUCCCUGCCUUCUGGUUGUUUUUUAAACUGAAUGUGCAAAUAUGAAUUAUGUAAUCUCAUUAGGAGUGUAGUCUAUCCUAGAAUUACAUGAAAUGGGGAAUAUUGUAAGCUGCAUGGAUCAUACCGAAGUUUAAUUUGGCGCAAUAUGGGUGGUCCGUUGCACUUGGUUCCGGAGGCACCCUCACAGAAGGGGGUUUCCUCCUCUUCGGUUUAGGGCGAUGGAUGAAACCUGUUGGGCCUGCAUCGGGCCUCAUCUUCAACAUCCUAUCUACUUUUGUGGCUUUGAAUUGGUCAUUUCCAAAGUGUACCUGUAGGUAGGCUUUAAUAUCAGUUUCCGUUGCACUUCAAAUAUCAUUGGAAAGUCAUAAUUCUCUACACUACAAUUAUUAUGCCCUUUGAAAUGCUAGCAAGUGAUCUGAACAUUACGUUACAUCGUUUUUGACUGUUGCUGACUGUCAAUACGUUUUUGACGGCUGACCAUUGCCAUCCAUUUCUCCCUGCGCUCUUGGUCCUUGGGGAAGCCGUGAACCCUUCUCGGACCGAUUGGAGCAUCCAAAUGCUGCACAGCCAACCAUAGUAUGACCAUUGAUCUAUAAAAUGUUAGUUGUAACCAAUGAACCAUGACACCAUUGAAGAUCACAGAGCGGGUAACAACUGUUCCUCAACCACUUAUGCCCUGACUUUUGAGAAUAGGUUAGAGGUCAGAGUUCAUGACCAAACGAGGAUCCUCCCUCCUAAACCCAUUUUGAAUUUCCUAGGGCUAUUCAAAGUAUUGUAAUGGCAUAAAGUAUAGUAUAUUUGCAACGUUAUAUGUUAAUGGUUUGCCCUAAGUAUAUAGUGUUCCCUGCUGUGUCCAUUGUUGAAUCUGUUCACACAAUCGCAAUUACUUGUUCUUGUCACACUAAUUGUUUAAUAAAAAAAAAUACAAUUUCA